UAAUUCGGGAUCCCUUCCAACAUUGUUGCCUGACCAGGUCCGAAAGCUAAAGCAACUCAGUGUGCUAACUCUGGCAGAGUCAACUAAGAUACUACCAUAUGAUCAGCUCAUGCAAGAGUUGGAUGUUUCCAACGUAAGAGAACUCGAAGAUUUUCUAAUCAAUGAGUGCAUGUAUGCAAGAGUUGGAUGUUUCCAACGUAAGAGAACUUGAAGAUUAUGCAUGUUCAUGUAGGGUAUUGUCAGAGGCAAACUAGAUCAGCUGAGAAGAUGCUUUGAAGUACAAUUUGCAGCUGGAAGAGAUCUUACACCUGAUCAGCUAAACAACAUGAUAGAGAUCUUAUCUGACUGGUUGGGAACAUCAGAUAGCCUGUUGCAUCAAAUUCAGGAGAAAAUCAAGUGGGCUAACACAAUGAGUGAUG